GGGUUGUAAAGCAGAUUUUCAGGGAAGAAAAGGUUUCGGAUAAUACCCGAACUGAUGCGGUACCCGAAGAUUAAGCACGGGCUAACUACGUGCCAGCAGCCGCGGUAAUACCGUAGGGUGCAAGCGUAAUCGGAAUUACUGGGCGUAAAGCGUGCGCAGGCGGUCGGAAAGAAAGAUGUGAAAUCCCAGGGCUCAACCUUGGAACUGCAUUUUUAACUACCGGACUAGAGUAUGUCAGAGGGGGGUGGAAUUCCACGUGUAGCAGUGAAAUGCGUAGAUAUGUGGAGGAACACCGAUGGCGAAGGCAGCCCCCUGGGAUAAUACUGACGCUCAUGCACGAAAGCGUGGGGAGCAAACAGGAUUAGAUACCCUGGUAGUCCACGCCCUAAACGAUGUCAACUAGCUGUUGGGCCCUUCGGGGCUUAGUAGCGCAGCUAACGCGUGAAGUUGACCGUCUGGGGAGUACGGUCGCAAGAUUAAAACUCAAAGGAAUUGACGGGGACCCGCACAAGCGGUGGAUGAUGUGGAUUAAUUCGAUGCAACGCGAAAAACCUUACCUACCCUUGACAUGUCUGGAAUCCUGAAGAGAUUUAGGAGUGCUCGCAAGAGAACCGGAACACAGGUGCUGCAUGGCUGUCGUCAGCUCGUGUCGUGAGAUGUUGGGUUAAGUCCCGCAACGAGCGCAACCCUUGUCAUUAGUUGCUACAUUUAGUUGAGCACUCUAAUGAGACUGCCGGUGACAAACCGGAGGAAGGUGGGGAUGACGUCAAGUCCUCAUGGCCCUUAUGGGUAGGGCUUCACACGUCAUACAAUGGUCGGGACAGAGGGUUGCCAAGCCGCAAGGUGGAGCCAAUCUCACAAACCCGAUCGUAGUCCGGAUUGCAGGCUGCAACUCGCCUGCAUGAAGUCGGAAUCGCUAGUAAUCGCGGAUCAG
rnacentral:rRNA from 1 species